GGUUCCGUAGUGUAGUGGUUAUCACGUUCGCUUUACACGCGAAAGGUCCCCGGUUCGAUCCCGGGCAGAACCA
rnacentral:tRNA from 1 species